GACGAACGCUGGCGGCGUGCUUAACACAUGCAAGUCGAACGAUGAAGAAGAGAAACGCGAACUUCGGUUCAAAUUUCACUUCGGAUUAGUGGCAGACGGGUGAGUAACGCGUGAGCAACCUACCUCUUACAAAGGGAUAGCCUCGGGAAACCGUGAUUAAUACCAUAUGACACAUUCAUAAGGCAUCUUAAGAAUGUUAAAGCUACGUCGGUAAGAGAUGGGCUCGCGUCCCAUUAGCUAGUUGGUGAGUUAACGGCCCACCAAGGCGACGAUGGGUAACCGGACUGAGAGGGUGAACCGUCACAUUGGAAAUGAGACACGGUCCAAACUCCUACGGGAGGCAGCAGUGGGGAAUAUUGCACAAUGGAGGGAACUCUGAUGCAGCGACGCCGCGUGAGCGAUGAAGGAAUUCGUUUCGUAAAGCUCUGUUCUAUGGGAAGAAAAGGACUGUACCAUAGGAGAAAGCCCCGGCUAAAUACGUG
rnacentral:rRNA from 1 species